rnacentral:miRNA from 1 species
GGAUGCCCAGUUAGUUUGAAUUUUACAUAAACAAUGAAGAAUUUCUUAGCAUAAAUAUGUUUCAAACUUAGUUUGGGACAUACUUAUGCUAAAAAAUAUUAUUAGUUGUUUAUCUGAGAUUCAAAAUUAGGCACUUUA